UACAACACUCGUGGGAUUGUAUGGUUCACGUGGUUGCCAUAAUUCAACAAGUGCUGGUGCAGUGACCCUAUCUCUAAGAAACCCAGGACACGCUCUGACGGAAGACAAAGUGAGCCUUUGUCUCCAGCCUCCACAGGAAAUGGCACCAUUGGCUUUGACGAGUUCUUGGUGAGGAAGGUGCGCCAGGUGAAUGAGGAGGCAAAAGGAAAAUCUGAAGAAGAGCCGGCACAGAUCUUUCGCAUAUUUGAUAGGAAUGCUGAUGGUUUCUUUG